GGGGCCCGAGGCGAGCCCCGCCCUACGGCCCCCUCCUCCCCGCUGGGCCUUGUCCGGUUCCGGAGCCCCGGACCGGGCUGGUUCUGGCCCGUCUUCCCCGCAGCCAGAUGGGGUCGGAGCCCAGAAUUGCUGCCCCCCCCCGGCUCUGACCCCCCCCCCCCCGAACCGGGCUUAGUGCGGUUCUGACCCGGCCUCCCUCUGUGCCCGGCUCGCCCGGUCCCGCCCCCUGAGUCCGGUCCCCGCCCCCGCCAGGUUCUGACCCGGCCUCCCCCUGUGCCCGGCUCGCCCGGUCCCGCCCCCUGAGUCCGGUCCCCGCCCCCGACAGGUUCUGACCCGGCCUCCCCCUGUGCCCGGCUCGCCCGGUCCCGCCCCCUGAGUCCGGUCCCCGCCCCCGACAGGUUCUGACCCGGCCUCCCCCUGUGCCCGGCUCGCCCGGUCCCGCCCCCUGAGUCCGGUCCCCGCCCCCUGAGUCCAGUCCCCGCCCCCGACAGGUUCUGACCCGGCCUCCCCCUGUGCCCGGCUCGCCCGGUCCCGCCCCCUGAGUCCAGUCCCCGCCCCCUGAGUCCAGUCCCCGCCCCCGCCAGGUUCUGACCCGGCCUCCCCCAGUGCCCAGCUCGCCCGGUCCCGCCCCCUGAGUCCGGUCCCCACCCCCGACAGGUUCUGACCCGGGCUCCCCCUGUGCCCGGCUCGCCUGGCUCCGCCCCCGAGUCCGGUCCCCGCCCCCGACAGGUUCUGACCCGGCCUCCCCUUGUGCCCGGCUCGCCCGGUCCCGCCCCCCUGAGUCCAGUCCCCGCCCCCGACAGGUUCUGACCCAGCCUCCCCCUGUGCCCGGCUUGCCCGGCUUUGACCCUGAGUUCCUCCCUGCCCUGGGGUUGUUCUGAGGCCUGCACCAUCUAGGUUGAGCCUCGUUCUGAUCCGAUAACGUUGCCCCCCCUUCCCUUCUACCCCAAAUGGCCUGCUUCAGACUUCCCUCCAGUUGAAAUUAACACAUUGAACUUCU